rnacentral:rRNA from 1 species
GACGAACGCUGGCGGCGUGCUUAACACAUGCAAGUCGAACGGUGAAGCGCCUUCCUUUUUGGUGGGUGUGGAUGAGUGGCGAACGGGUGAGUAACACGUGAGUAACCUGCCCCCUUCUUCUGGAUAACCGCAUGAAAGUGUGGCUAAUACGGGAUAUUCUGGGUCUGUCGCAUGAUGGGUCUGGGAAAGAUAUUGUUUCGGUGGGGGAUGGGCUCGCGGCCUAUCAGCUUGUUGGUGGGGUGAUGGCCUACCAAGGCGGUGACGGGUAGCCGGCCUGAGAGGGUGGACGGUCACUGGGACUGAGACACGGCCCAGACUCCUACGGGAGGCAGCAGUGGGGAAUAUUGCACAAUGGGCGCAAGCCUGAUGCAGCGACGCCGCGUGAGGGAUGGAGGCCUUCGGGUUGUGAACCUCUUUCGCCAGUGAAGCAGGCCUGCCUCGUUUGUGGGUGGGUUGACGGUAGCUGGAUAAGAAGCGCCGGCUAACUACGUG